AGCUCAUGUAACUUGCCAAAGAAUGAUCCUUUGGGGCUAAAAUUUUCCAUGCUGGGUCUUGGCAAAAAGGUGAAUUUUUUUGGAAGUUUGAAU
rnacentral:pre_miRNA from 2 species